CCUACGGGCGGCAGCAGUGGGGAAUAUUGGACAAUGGGGGGAACCCUGAUCCAGCCAUGCCGCGUGUGUGAAGAAGGCCCUCGGGUUGUAAAGCACUUUCAGUGAGGAAGAACGCCUGGUGGUUAAUACCCAUCAGGAAAGACAUCACUCACAGAAGAAGCACCGGCUAACUCCGUGCCAGCAGCCGCGGUAAUACGGAGGGUGCGAGCGUUAAUCGGAAUUACUGGGCGUAAAGCGCGCGUAGGUGGCUUGAUAAGCCGGUUGUGAAAGCCCCGGGCUCAACCUGGGAACGGCAUCCGGAACUGUCAAGCUAGAGUGCAGGAGAGGAAGGUAGAAUUCCCGGUGUAGCGGUGAAAUGCGUAGAGAUCGGGAGGAAUACCAGUGGCGACGGCGGCCUUCUGGACUGACACUGACACUGAGGUGCGAAAGCGUGGGUAGCAAACAGGAUUAGAUACCCUGGUAGUC
rnacentral:rRNA from 1 species